UUUUUUUUUUUUUUUUUGAGACAGAGUCUCGCUCUGUUGCCCAGGCUGGAGUGAAGUGGCGUGAUCUCGGCUCACUGCAAGCUCUGCCUCCCGGGUUCAUGUAAUUCUCCUGCCUCAGCCUCCCGAGUAGGUGGGACUACAGGCGCCCGCCACCACGCCUGGCUAAUUUUUUGUAUUUUUAGUAGAGACGGAGUUUCACCAUGUUAGCCAGGAUGGUCUUCAUCUCCUGACCUCAUGAUCCACCCACCUCAGCCUCCCAAAGUGCUGAGAUUACAGGAGUGAGCCACUGCGCCCGGCAGUAUAGUCUUAAGACUUCACAAAGCAAAGAAAUUCCUGUGUAAGCCUCAUCAGGACUGGGGGUCAUGAAGAGGAAGGUAACUGUCAUGCCUGCAGUUUGCAGCCAACCCAUUACUAAGCAGCGCCUGUCUGUGGGGAGCUCCUGCCAGUGCCUCCUCCUCCAUGCCCAGCAGGAAAGAGAGGCUGGGAAGGAUGCAUGCGCCCCAUGCCUGGCUCUACUUGCAGUGCCCCCAGGAUAAAAGCCAGGAGGCAGGCCUGGCACGGUGACUCACGCCUGUAAUCCCAGCACUUUCCAAGGCCUAGGUGGGCAGAUCAUGAGGUCAGGAGAUCGAGAGCAUCCUGGUUAACACAGUGAAGCCCCGUCUCUACUAAAAAUAUAAAAAAUUAGCUGGGUGAGGUGGUACACGUCUGUAAUCCCAGUUCCUUGGGAGCCUGAAGCAGGAGAAUCUCUUUAACCUGGGACGCCCAGGUUGCAGUGAGCCGAGAUCGCGCCACUGUACUCCAGCCUACGCGACACAGCAAGACUACGUCUCAAAAAAAAAGAAAAGGAAGCCAGGAGGUGGGCAGUCAGGAGGGGGAGGGGGACCCAGGAGCUGUGGCUUCUUCUACUCAAGAUAGAGAAAGGACGGCUCCCCUGGUUAUUAUCAGGACCAACUGAUUUUGCCUGAUCUGAGAGAAAACAUCCUGACCACAGGUCACUUGAAAUGCCCUGUAAUUCAGAAACAGUGGCUGUCCGCAGCAGACAGCCAUCUAGAUUUAAGUCCCCAAAUUCACACACCACACCACAAAGUAAAAGUGUCCACUUACAAGCAAAAAAUAACAAACUUAAACAGACAAGCCCCCAACCCACUCUCAUUUCAUUUCCCUUGGUUCAAGGUCUCCUCUGAGCAGGUCAUCUCUCCUGGUGUGUUUGCGUACAGGCUGUGGGGGUGUGGGGAGGGAGUCCCUUUUCCUCUUAACCCAGGCAGGGCUGGCUCCAGGUUGCACAGAGCUCCAGAGACAAAACUGCUCACUGCAGAGAAGGGCAGGAUCCAGCCCAAGCUCUACUCUGAUGAGCUCUGAGAUUGGGGGUGGUGACUUCAUCUUCUAUCUAUGGCUUGGAACAAUGAUGAUGACCAUGACCCUCUGGUUUCAGUUCAGUCAAUGAACACGGAGCAAACUGCUAUCGUCAGGCACUAGUCUAGGGAGGUGAUUCAGAAAGGCUCCCAGAGACCCACACGCCAAUCACUAAACUAAUACAACACGCUAAACGCUACAUCUACAGUAGGGAUGAAGUGUUUUAGGUACAGAGACAUAAGGGAGUUGAGAAAAGCUUCAGAGGUUUUCAAAGUGGUUUCCAGACCAUCAUUGGCCAGCCUCACCUGGGAAGUUGUUAGAAAUGCAAAUAUCAGCUCCACCCCAGACCUGCUGAAUCAAACAUUCUGGGGGUGGGGCCC
rnacentral:lncRNA from 1 species